GGAUGAACGCUGGCGGCGUGCUUAACACAUGCAAGUCGAACGAUGAAGCCCAGCUUGCUGGGUGGAUUAGUGGCGAACGGGUGAGUAACACGUGAGUAACCUGCCCUUGACUCUGGGAUAAGCCCGGGAAACUGGGUCUAAUACCGGAUAGGAACGUCCACCGCAUGGUGGUUGUUGGAAAGAUUUAUCGGUCAUGGAUGGACUCGCGGCCUAUCAGCUUGUUGGUGAGGUAAUGGCUCACCAAGGCGACGACGGGUAGCCGGCCUGAGAGGGUGACCGGCCACACUGGGACUGAGACACGGCCCAGACUCCUACGGGAGGCAGCAGUGGGGAAUAUUGCACAAUGGGCGAAAGCCUGAUGCAGCGACGCCGCGUGAGGGAUGACGGCCUUCGGGUUGUAAACCUCUUUCAGUAGGGAAGAAGCGAAAGUGACGGUACCUGCAGAAGAAGCACCGGCUAACUACGU
rnacentral:rRNA from 1 species